rnacentral:rRNA from 1 species
CCUACGGGAGGCAGCAGUCGGGAAUUUUGGGCAAUGGGCGAAAGCCUGACCCAGCAACGCCGCGUGAAGGAUGAAAUCCCUCGGGAUGUAAACUUCGCAAGAACAGGAAGAAUAAGUGAGAGUUAAUAUCUCUUACGAUGACGGUACUGUUUGUAAGCUCCGGCUAACUCCGUGCCAGCAGCCGCGGUAAUACGGGGGGAGCAAGCGUUGUUCGGAUUUACUGGGCGUAAAGGGCGCGUAGGCGGCCACCGCAAGUCGACUGUGAAAUCUCCGGGCUUAACCCGGAAAGGUCAGCCGAUACUGCGGGGCUAGAGUGCAGAAGGGGCAACUGGAAUUCUCGGUGUAGCGGUGAAAUGCGUAGAUAUCGAGAGGAACACCUGCGGCGAAGGCGGGUUGCUGGGCUGACACUGACGCUGAAGCGCGAAAGCUAGGGGAGCGAACGGGAUUAGAUACCCCGGUAGUCCUAGCCUUAAACGACGAAUGCUUGGUGUCUGGGGUUUUAUAGUCCCCGGGUGCCGUCGCUAACGCUUUAAGCAUUCCGCCUGGGGAGUACGGUCGCAAGACUGAAACUCAAAGGAAUUGACGG